rnacentral:rRNA from 1 species
GAUGAACGCUGGCGGCGUGCUUAACACAUGCAAGUCGAACGGAAAGGCUCCUGCUUGCAGGGGUACUCGAGUGGCGAACGGGUGAGUAACACGUGGGUGAUCUGCCCUGCACUUCGGGAUAAGCCUGGGAAACUGGGUCUAAUACCGGAUAGGACCACAUUUUGGAUGGUGUGGUGGAAAGUUUUUCGGUGUGGGAUGAGCUCGCGGCCUAUCAGCUUGUUGGUGGGGUAAUGGCCUACCAAGGCGUCGACGGGUAGCCGGCCUGUGAGGGUGUACGGCCACAUUGGAACUGAGAUACGGCCCAGACUCCUACGGGGGGCAGCAGUGGGGAAUAUUGCACAAUGGGCGCAAGCCUGAUGCAGCGACGCCGCGUGGGGGAUGACGGCCUUCGGGUUGUAAACUCCUUUCGCUAGGGACGAAGCGUUUUUGUGACGGUACCUGGAGAAGAAGCACCGGCUAACUACGUG